GCAUAUCAAUAAGCGGAGGAAAAGAAACCAACAGGGAUUGCCUCAGUAACGGCGAGUGAAGCGGCAACAGCUCAAAUUUGAAAUCUGGCUCUUUCAGGGUCCGAGUUGUAAUUUGUAGAAGAUGCUUUGGGUGUAGCUCCGGUCUAAGUUCCUUGGAACAGGACGUCAUAGAGGGUGAGAAUCCCGUACGUGACUGGUUGCUUUCGCUCGUGUAAAGCUCUUUCGACGAGUCGAGUUGUUUGGGAAUGCAGCUCAAAAUGGGUGGUAAAUUUCAUCUAAAGCUAAAUAUUGGCCAGAGACCGAUAGCGCACAAGUAGAGUGAUCGAAAGAUGAAAAGCACUUUGGAAAGAGAGUUAAACAGUACGUGAAAUUGUUGAAAGGGAAGCGCUUGCAACCAGACUUGCACGCUGUUGAUCAUCCGAGAUUUUUCCCGGUGCACUCGGCAGUGUUCAGGCCAGCAUCGGUUUUGGUGGGCGGAUAAAGGCCUUGGGAAUGUAGCUUCUUUCGGGGAGUGUUAUAGCCCUCGGUGCAAUGCGCCCUACCGGGACCGAGGACCGCGCUUCGGCUAGGAUGCUGGCGUAAUGGUUGUAAGCGACCCGUCUUGAAACACGGACCAAGGAGUCUAACAUCUAUGCGAGUGUUUGGGUGUCAAACCCAUACGCGUAAUGAAAGUGAACGGAGGUGAGAACCCUUAAGGGUGCAUCAUCGACCGAUCCUGAUGUCUUCGGAUGGAUUUGAGUAAGAGCAUAGCUGUUGGGACCCGAAAGAUGGUGAACUAUGCCUGAAUAGGGUGAAGCCAGAGGAAACUCUGGUGGAGGCUCGCAGCGGUUCUGACGUGCAAAUCGAUCGUCAAAUUUGGGUAUAGGGGCGAAAGACUAAUCGAACCAUCUAGUAGCUGGUUCCUGCGA
rnacentral:rRNA from 1 species